UUAGAAAAUAAUUUCAAUUCAUUUGAAGCUAAACGGUUCCUUGAAGACGUUCCGUUUCAAGCAAAGAAUUUAUCUUGAAUUCUAAUUAGGCAAAAACUGAGAGCUGUCACUUUCCAAACACCAAUGUCAACGCCAAAGCUGGUAGCAGCCCAUCUGUGGAGUUAUUUGGCGAGCGGGGCGACGGCGUCGGCGCGUGCUUCGGAAUUUCCCGCCCAGCCGCCAUCUUGUCGUGCAAUUGAGCGAGCCGCAUGCUCAUUUGCCGUCUUUCUUUUUGUUCUCUCUCCUUUUCCCACCUUCUGGCACUGUAACUCCUGAUAGAAGACGAGCUGCUUUGCACAGAACUUAGACUUGGACGUCGCGAACCUGCGGAGGAGAUCAGUUUUACGUUUACAUAGAAGAUUCUUGGACUAUUCGCGAAUAUAUGUAUGUAUAAGCUUGAUAACUUGAAGAACAAUUUUUCUUUGGCAAAGUGAGCAACUAUUAUUGUGAUGAUUUUAAUCUUAUAAUUAAAUAGAAAUUUGUUAUUUUAUGUGAUAAAUAAUAAUGUAAACUGCCAAGCGCAAGUUAUAAUUUUAAAAGUAAGCAGCAGUUAAAAGUUAUUUGUGUAAAUGGAUGCAUGUUCGUUUUGUGUGAUAAAGAAAUUAAAGCACUGAUAUGUAUAUCCAAUAGUUUUUUCUUAAAUCGAUAAUGUCUAAGGCAAAAACAUACGAGUGAAUUAAAAUAUAAAAUAUUUUCCAAAUUACACUCCAAACGAUAGGUUCAGAUAGUAUGUACAAUAUAUGAAAGUUAUGGAGAUAUUACAGUGGUAAAGUUUGGUUAUGUCAACUCCAAAGUAAUAUAUCAUCAUAGUCGUAGAAUACUGACGGAUCUGACAAAGAUAACAUAUAAAGAUCCGUCGGUAUUCUACGACUAUGACGAUAUAGAUAACGCUCACAAUACGCACAGAAAUAAAGGAAGGUCUUAACGUAUUCAUAUUGAAGAAUAUUCUGAUAUCUUUAUUAUAUAUAAUAUUCUAUUUAUUGUAAUCACAUUGUUUAACUUGGUAAUGUGGUUUAGUGUUAUGUACCUAAAAUAUGAGAAUUUUCCAAAUUAUCAUCAUCAUCACAAGUCUUCUUGCCCGCCUUGUUGUGUAGGCGGGCGAGGUAGGGGCCUCGGGGUAAACCCUUCUACCCCGGCUGCAUCUCCAGAGGCAACUACCUCCGGGUCGCUGGGUUUUUGAGCCGGCAUACACUGGUGGUCUGUGUAUGCCGGCGUGGUGUCAAAUUAUCGACCGGUUACUAUUAUACCUUUCUUUUUUUGGUGUCUACUUAGUCAAAGGAGAAGAUAUGUUUUUACUGUUCGCAUAUUUAUUAGAAUAUUUUUACAUAGUGAUUUUAAUUCUUCGUAAGAAACAAAAUAUCCCAUUUUCUUUUUCAAGCUCCAAACUUUUGUAAGCCGAUUUAAAAGCAUUCUGUCAAUGUCAAUGCCAGGAAUUUAUAUACAUUAAAAUUAGGUACAUUUUGGAGAGAUAGCAAAUAGAUGUACUGAAUGGAGAAGAAGUAAAGUAACGAAGAACACGCGAAA